GAAGCAGCGGCGAACGGGUGAGUAACACGUGAGAAACCUGCCCCGAAGACCGGGAUAACACCGGGAAACCGGUGCUAAUACCGGAUGCCCUCACCGGAUCGCAUGAUCCGGCGAGGAAAUGGAUUCCGCUUCGGGAUGGUCUCGCGGCCUAUCAGCUUGUUGGUGGGGUAACGGCCUACCAAGGCUUCGACGGGUAGCUGGUCUGAGAGGAUGUCCAGCCACACUGGGACUGAGACACGGCCCAGACUCCUACGGGAGGCAGCAGUAGGGAAUCUUGCGCAAUGGGCGAAAGCCUGACGCAGCGACGCCGCGUGCGGGAUGAAGGCCUUCGGGUUGUAAACCCCUUUCAGCAGGGACGAAGCGGAAGUGACGGUACCUGCAGAAGAAGCGCCGGCUAACUACGUGCCAGCAGCCGCGGUAACACGUAGGGCGCAAGCGUUGUCCGGAAUUAUUGGGCGUAAAGAGCUCGUAGGCGGUCUGUUGCGUCCGCUGUGAAAUCUCGGGGCUUAACCCCGAGCCUGCAGUGGAUACGGGCAGACUAGAGGUAGGUAGGGGAGAAUGGAAUUCCCGGUGUAGCGGUGAAAUGCGCAGAUAUCGGGAGGAACACCGGUGGCGAAGGCGGUUCUCUGGGCCUUACCUGACGCUGAGGAGCGAAAGCGUGGGGAGCGAACAGGAUUAGAUACCCUGGUAGUCCACGCCGUAAACGUUGGGCGCUAGGUGUGGGGUCCUUCCACGGAUUCCGUGCCGCAGCUAACGCAUUAAGCGCCCCGCCUGGGG
rnacentral:rRNA from 1 species